rfam:Triticum urartu cultivar G1812 contig401718, whole genome shotgun sequence.
UACGUACUCUCUGUGUUCAAAAAUACUUGUCAUCAAAAUGAAUAAAAGGAGAUAUAUUUAGAUGUAUUUUAGUUCUAGAUACAUUUCUUUCUAUCAAUUUUGAGGACAAGUAUUUCCGGACGGAUGGAGUAUUUG